AGGGGAAUAGUUCAGUGGUAGAGCAUGUGCUCAGCAUGCACGAGGUCCUGGGUUCAAGAUCCCCAGUACCUCCA
rnacentral:tRNA from 1 species